UACGUAGGGUGCAAGCGUUAAUCGGAAUUACUGGGCGUAAAGCGUGCGCAGGCGGUUAUGCAAGACAGAUGUGAAAUCCCCGGGCUUAACCUGGGAACCGCAUUUGUGACUGCAUAGCUGGAGUACGGCAGAGGGGGAUGGAAUUCCGCGUGUAGCAGUGAAAUGCGUAGAUAUGCGGAGGAACACCGAUGGCGAAGGCAGCCCCCUGGGCCGACAUUGACGCUCAGGCACGAAAGCGUGGGAGCAAACAGG
rnacentral:rRNA from 1 species